AGAGUUUGAUCCUGGCUCAGGAUGAACGCUAGCUACAGGCUUAACACAUGCAAGUCGAGGGGCAGCAUGGUCUUAGCUUGCUAAGGCCGAUGGCGACCGGCGCACGGGUGAGUAACACGUAUCCAACCUGCCGUCUACUCUUGGACAGCCUUCUGAAAGGAAGAUUAAUACAAGAUGGCAUCAUGAGUCCGCAUGUUCACAUGAUUAAAGGUAUUCCGGUAGACGAUGGGGAUGCGUUCCAUUAGAUAGUAGGCGGGGUAACGGCCCACCUAGUCUUCGAUGGAUAGGGGUUCUGAGAGGAAGGUCCCCCACAUUGGAACUGAGACACGGUCCAAACUCCUACGGGAGGCAGCAGUGAGGAAUAUUGGUCAAUGGGCGAGAGCCUGAACCAGCCAAGUAGCGUGAAGGAUGACUGCCCUAUGGGUUGUAAACUUCUUUUAUAAAGGAAUAAAGUCGGGUAUGCAUACCCGUUUGCAUGUACUUUAUGAAUAAGGAUCGGCUAACUCCGUGCCAGCAGCCGCGGUAAUACGGAGGAUCCGAGCGUUAUCCGGAUUUAUUGGGUUUAAAGGGAGCGUAGAUGGAUGUUUAAGUCAGUUGUGAAAGUUUGCGGCUCAACCGUAAAAUUGCAGUUGAUACUGGAUAUCUUGAGUGCAGUUGAGGCAGGCGGAAUUCGUGGUGUAGCGGUGAAAUGCUUAGAUAUCACGAAGAACUCCGAUUGCGAAGGGCAGCCUGGCUAGCUGCAACUGACAUUGAGGCUUGAAAGUGUGGGUAUCAAACAGGAUAAAUACCCGGGUAAUCCACCCGGAAAACAAUGAUUACCAGGUGUGCGGGGACUGACCCCCUGCGUGCCGCAGUAAACACAAUAAGUAUUCCACCUGGGGAGUACGAUCGCAAGGUUGAAACUCAAAGGAAUUGACGGGGGCCCGCACAAGCGGUGGAUUAUGAGGUUUAAUUCGAAGCAACGCGAAGAACCUUACCAGGGUUUGACAUCCUGCUAACGAAGUAGAGAUACAUUAGGUGCCCUUCGGGGAAAGCAGAGACAGGUGGUGCAUGGUUGUCGUCAGCUCGUGUCGUGAGAUGUUGGGUUAAGUCCCGCAACGAGCGCAACCCCUAUUGUUAGUCGCUACGCAAGAGCACUCUAGCGAGACUGCCGUUGACAAAACGGAGGAAGGUGGGGACGACGUCAAAUCAUCAUGCCCCUUAUAUCCUGGGCUACACACGUAAUACAAUGGCGGUCAACAGAGGGUAGCAAAGCCGCGAGGCAGAGCAAACCCCCAAAAGCCGUCCCAGUUCGGAUUGUAGGCUGCAACUCGCCUGCAUGAAGUCGGAAUCGCUAGUAAUCGCGGAUCAGCAUGCCGCGGUGAAUACGUUCCCGGGCCUUGCACUCACCGCCCGUCAAG
rnacentral:rRNA from 1 species